AAAAUCUUUAAAAAAAAAAAAAGACUAUCCGUGACCCACGAGCUUCCUCAUCCACAGCUCAGGUAAGGGCAUCUGGGGGACAUCUCUUCUCCCCAGGGUGAGGCCAGAGCCGCUCUGCCCUGGACCUGGGCCCGGCCACCAUGUUUUCUGCCCAGUGCCUUGGAGCGCUUCUGGAUCUCCCAACGGGCACAGUGCUAGCUCUGGGGCCUGGAACGGGUUUUUCUCAACUUCUUGAACAUUCAGUUUCUCAUCUGGUCCUGAAAAAAUGGGAACGUUAUUACUGGCUCUGCCUGUAUCACAGGUAUUUUAUAAAACCACCAAAAUUAUGCAAUAUGUGUAAUGUUUUAUAGACAGUGCUAAGCAAACGUACAGUCAAAUUUUAUUGUCAUUUUUUUCCAUAGCUGCCCAUAUAUUUAUCGUUCCACAGUGUCAGUCAUAAAAAAAAAAAAGAGUUGUUUUUAAAAGAAGAGACUCAGUGGCACCUGGCGUUCUCAGUCGGUGGAGUGCACGGCUUUUGGUCUCAGGCUUGUGGAUUUGAGCCCCACAUUGGGCGCCAAGAGUCCUUAAAGGCAAAAUCUUUAAAAAAACAAACAAAAACAAAAACCAAAAAACAAAACCAAAGAAGACACAGAGCCAGUAAUGAAGGAUAAUAUAAGGUGGGGGCUUAUCUUCCCUCAGGAGACAGGGGACAGAGAAACACGCUGGUCUGCACCACGAGGAGGCACUGAGCCGCUCCAGAAGCCCCUGCAGGUCCGUUGGCCCAGGAAGGACAAGACAGGGCUGGAGAGAGACCCUGUCGAUUCAGAGACCCGAAUGGCCCACCAGCUUUACAGAACCCUGGGCAAGACCCCUUCGCUGGGUGAUAAAGCUACACAGACUGCAUUGAAUUUAACACCCAGCCCAAGGAGCAUGGAAAAUAACAUGACAGAUUCUGUCUAUCCCAGUGGGGCACGGGGGCCACAAAGCCAGCUGAUUACCACGUGCCCACUCUGUUCCCAGCGGUGGCCGCCCUGGGAUUGCAAGCCCUGAGCAGAUGUGACGGAGCCGCGGGGACCCACCCACGCCCAGCACCGGAGCUGCAGAAAGGUCUUCACUGUUGUUUGCAUAAAGACAACUUAGUUGUCACUCUAAAUAUAAAUCAGUAAACUAUCUUCAACAUUAAAAAUAAAACGCGUGGUGCUUAUUUGCA
rnacentral:lncRNA from 1 species